rnacentral:sRNA from 1 species
GCGAUGAGCUAAUUUACGUAAGACGAGAGAUAUGCUUAAGUGCUAAACACGCGGAUGUGGCCGCCUGGUCUCUCGCCGUAAAACGCAUCAAGACGCCUGCUAAUUUCAGGCGUC